CCUACGGGAGGCAGCAGUGAGGAAUAUUGGUCAAUGGGCGGGAGCCUGAACCAGCCAAGCCGCGUGAGGGAAGAAGGUACAGCGUAUCGUAAACCUCUUUUGUCAGGGAACAAAGGCGGGGACUAGUCCCCGGAUGAGGGUACCUGAAGAAAAAGCAUCGGCUAACUCCGUGCCAGCAGCCGCGGUAAUACGGAGGAUGCGAGCGUUAUCCGGAUGUAUUGGGUUAAAAGGGUGCGCAGGCGGCCUGUUAAGUCAGCGGUAAAAGCCCGGGGCUCAACCCCGGCGAGCCGUUGAAACUGGCGGGCUUGAGUUGGAGAGACGUACGCGGAAUGCGCGGUGUAGCGGUGAAAUGCUUAGCUCUCGCGCAGAACCCCGAUUGCGAAGGCAGCGUACCGGCUCCACACUGACGCUGAGGCACGAAAGCGUGGGUAUCGAACAGGAUUAGAUACCCGAGUAGUC
rnacentral:rRNA from 1 species